CUGCAGUGAUGCUUCUCUUAGGAUACCUUUGGAUAUAUCAUGAAAACAAACCAGUUCGUGGU
rnacentral:snoRNA from 1 species